GAUGAACGCUGGCGGCGUGCCUAAUACAUGCAAGUCGAGCGAACGGACGAGAAGCUUGCUUCUCUGAUGUUAGCGGCGGACGGGUGAGUAACACGUGGAUAACCUACCUAUAAGACUGAGAUAACUUCGGGAAACCGGAGCUAAUACCGGAUAAUAUGUUGAACCGCAUGGUUCAAAAGUGAAAGACGGUUUUGCUGUCACUUAUAGAUGGAUCCGCGCUGCAUUAGCUAGUUGGUAAGGUAACGGCUUACCAAGGCAACGAUGCAUAGCCGACCUGAGAGGGUGAUCGGCCACACUGGAACUGAGACACGGUCCAGACUCCUACGGGAGGCAGCAGUAGGGAAUCUUCCGCAAUGGGCGAAAGCCUGACGGAGCAACGCCGCGUGAGUGAUGAAGGUCUUCGGAUCGUAAAACUCUGUUAGUAGGGAAGAACAUAUGUGUAAGUAACUGUGCACAUCUUGACGGUACCUAAUCAGAAAGCAACGGCUAACUACGUG
rnacentral:rRNA from 1 species